AGCGUUUAAAAGCUACGGGAUGACGUGUGGAUAGGGGUGAAAUUCCAAUCGAACUCGGAGAUAGCUGGUUCUCCUCGAAAUAGCUUUAGGGCUAGCCUCAAGAGAAGUAUAGUGGGGGUAGAGCACUGAAUGGUCUAGGGGCGUUAUACGUUACCAAAACCUAUCAAACUCCGAAUACCAUAAAUACAAGCUUGGGAGUCAGACUGCGUGAGAUAAGUUUCGUAGUCAAAAGGGAAACAGCCCAGAUCACCAACUAAGGUCCCCAAAUAUAGAUUAAGUGGAAAAGGAUGUAAUACUACACAGACAACCAGGAUGUUGGCUUAGAAGCAGCCAUUCAUUAAAAGAGUGCGUAAUAGCUCACUGGUCGAGUGGUGUUGCGCCGAAGAUGUCCGGGGCUAAAAUCUAUUACCGAAGUUGUGGGAUGUACGAAAGUACAUCGGUAGAGGAGCAUUCUGUGCAGGAAGAAGUUCCAUCGAAAGAGGAUAUGGACAGUACAGAAGAGAGAAUGUUGGCAUGAGUAGCGAAAGGUGAGUGAGAAUCUCACCCAUCGAAAGCCUAAGGAUUCCUGAGGAAGGCUCGUCCACUCAGGGUAAGUCGGGACCUAAGCCGAGGCGUAUUGCGUAGGCGAUGGACAACUGGUUGAAAUUCCAGUACCACCUUUAAGCGUUUGAGAAAUGGGGUAACACAGAAGGGUAGGCUAGCGCACUGAUGGAAUAGUGCGUCUAAGUAAGUAGGGAGACACCGGAGGCAAAUCCCCGGAGUCAAUCCUGAGAUACGAAUGGGAGCGAAAAGAAGUAGUGAAGUAGUUGAGCCCACGCUGUCAAGAAAAGCCUCUAUCGAGCAAGAAGGUGCCCGUACCGCAAACCGACACAGGUAGGCAAGGAGAGAAUCCAAAGAUGAGCGGAAGAACUAUUGUUAAGGAACUCGGCAAAAUGACCCCGUAACUUCGGGAGAAGGGGUGCCCAUUGGAGUGAAGUCUGAACAGAUGGAGCUUCGAAGGGUCACAGAAAACAGGCCCAAGCGACUGUUUACCAAAAACACAGGUCUCUGCUAAAUCGAAAGAUGAAGUAUAGGGGCUGACACCUGCCCGGUGCUGGAAGGUUAAGGGGAGAAGUCAUCGAAAGAGAAGCUUUGAACUUAAGCCCCAGUAAACGGCGGCCGUAACUAUAACGGUCCUAAGGUAGCGAAAUUCCUUGUCGGGUAAGUUCCGACCCGCACGAAAGGUGUAACGAUUUGGGCACUGUCUCAACAAUAGAUCCGGUGAAAUUGUAGUACUCGUGAAGAUGCGAGUUACCCGCGGCAGGACGGAAAGACCCCAUGGAGCUUUACUGCAGGCUGACAUUGGAAUUCGGUAGCAAUUGUACAGGAUAGGUGGGAGACAAAGAAGCAUGCACGCCAGUGUGUGUGGAGUCGACGUUGGGAUACCACUCUAUUGUUACUGAAUUUCUAACAUGAUACCGUAAUCCGGUAUAUGGACACUGUCAGUUGGGCAGUUUGACUGGGGCGGUCGCCUCCGAAAGAGUAACGGAGGCGCUCAAAGGUUCCCUCAGCACGGUCGGAAAUCGUGCGAAGAGUGUAAAGGCA
rnacentral:rRNA from 1 species